rnacentral:rRNA from 1 species
GAUGAACGCUGGCGGCGUGCUUAACACAUGCAAGUCAAACGAAGAGGGUUAGAAUGAGAGCUUCGGCAGGAUUUCUUUCCAUCUUAGUGGCGGACGGGUGAGUAACGUGUGGGCAACCUGCCCUGUACUGGGGAAUAAUCAUUGGAAACGAUGACUAAUACCGCAUGUGGUCCUCGGAAGGCAUCUUCUGAGGAAGAAAGGAUUUAUUCGGUACAGGAUGGGCCCGCAUCUGAUUAGCUAGUUGGUGAGAUAACAGCCCACCAAGGCGACGAUCAGUAGCCGACCUGAGAGGACGAUCAGCCACACUGGGACUGAGACACGGCCCAA